rnacentral:rRNA from 1 species
UACGAAGGGGGGCUAGCGUUGCUCGGAAUCACUGGGCGUAAAGCGCGUGUAGGUGGCUUGUUAAGUCGAUUGUGAAAUCCCUGGGCUCAACCGAGGAAGUGCAUUCGAAACUAGCUAGCUAGAGGACGGCAGAGGAAGGUGGAAUGCCAAGUGUAGAGGUGAAAUUCGUAGAUAUUUGGCGGAAUACCGGUGGCGAAGGCGGCCUUCUGGACCGGUCCUGACACUGAGACGCGAAAGCGUGGGGAGCAAACAGG